GGGGAUGUAGCUCAGCUGGGAGAGCGCUUGAAUGGCAUUCAAGAGGUCAGGGGUUCAAAUCCCCUCAUCUCCACUA
rnacentral:tRNA from 1 species